GACAGAGAGAGACAGACAGACAGACAGACAGACAGACAGACAGACAGGUGCACAGCAACAACAGUAUUGGCAAUGGCAGUCAAGCAGGACCAUGGCAGGAGGCUCCACCAGGAUCCAUGAGAACCUGCGAGACGAGAAAGCACAAGAACUCCGGGGAAGAAGUGGAGUUAGUAACAUGCAUUAAAGGGACAUGAAUGAGUGCAGAAAGAGAGAGGAAGAGAGUAGCUCAGUGCACCAUGGGAAAUCCCCCGAUAGUCUAGGCCUAUAGCAGCAUAACUAAGGGAUGGUUCAGGACUCACCUGAUCCAGCCCUAACUAUAAGCUUUAUCAAAGAGGAAUGUCUUAAGCCUACUCUUGAAAGUGGUGAGGGUGUCUGCCUCCCGAACCACAACUGGAAGCUGGUUCCACAGGAGAGGAGCUUGGUAACUGAAGGCUCUGGCUCCUGUUCUACUUUUAGAGACUAUAGGAACCACAAGUAGCCCAGCAUUCAGAGAACGUAGUGUUCUAGUGGGGUAAUAGGGUACUAUGAGCUCUUUAAGAUAUGAAGGGGCCUGACCAUGAAGAGCUUUAUAGGUGAGGAGGAGUAUUUUAAAUUCAAUUCUACAUUUUAUAGGGAGCCAAUGCAGAGUAGCUAGUACAGGAGAGAUGUGAUCUCUUUUUCUAGUUCCUGUCAGUACUCGUGCUGCAGCGUUCUGAAUUAAUUGGA